GACGUAGGGGGCGAGCGUUGUUCGGAUUCAUUGGGCGUAAAGGGUGCGUAGGUGGCGCUGUAAGUCGGGUGUGAAAUUUCGGAGCUUAACUCCGAAACUGCAUUCGAUACUGCGGUGCUUGAGGACUGGAGAGGAGACUGGAAUUCAUGGUGUAGCAGUGAAAUGCGUAGAGAUCAUGAGGAAGACCAGUGGCGAAGGCGGGUCUCUGGACAGUUCCUGACACUGAGGCACGAAGGCCAGGGGAGCAAAACGGGG
rnacentral:rRNA from 1 species